GUGUCAGCAGCCGCGGUAAUACGUAGGGGGCAAGCGUUGUCCGGAUUUAUUGGGCGUAAAGAGCGUGUAGGCGGCUUCACAAGUCCGCUGUGAAAACUCGAGGCUCAACCUCGAGCUGUCGGUGGAAACUGUGUGGCUAGAGUCCGGAAGAGGAGAGUGGAAUUCCCGGUGUAGCGGUGAAAUGCGCAGAUAUCGGGAAGAACACCCGUGGCGAAGGCGGCUCUCUGGGACGGUACUGACGCUGAGACGCGAAAGCGUGGGGAGCGAACAGGAUUAGAUACCCUGGUAGUCCACGCCGUAAACGAUGGGUGCUAGGUGUGGGGGGUGUCGACUCCCUCCGUGCCGAAGCUAACGCAUUAAGCACCCCGCCUGGGGAGUACGGCCGCAAGGCUAAA
rnacentral:rRNA from 1 species